GCAGCAGCACGAAGUGAAUGUGUAAGGUGUUUCAGGAUCUUUCAUUCAAUUUCCUAACUCAGAAUCUGAAGUUAAAUAAUUUCAACUAUCUGUCUUUCAGCCAUUUCAAAUUCCUUUGGAUUCGGUGGACACAACUCUGUGGUAGCCUUUUCUGCAUUUAAACCCUGAGAGCAUGGCCUUCUUCUGCAUUCGGGCCGCGGUCAUUUACAUUUACCAUGGCCUGCAUUUCUUGUAGGAACCACUGGAGAGUUGCUUGCUUAUAGACAGAGUCAUCGACAUCACUUCCCCCUUUUAGCUUUUUGAGCUGCUGAUAGUAGUCAGUUUCUCAUUUCAGUAUCAAGUCUAUCUUAAGAAGGUCUUGCUUAAUUUUUCUUUUCAAAUUACCAUUUCAUUGUCAUUUUCCUUGGAACUUUUAGCUUAAGAUCUGCUGUGAUCAUGUGGUUUUGAUUUCAAAUUAAUUAUGUAGCGGAUACGAACAAGCAAUCAUAAAAAGUCUUUUUGAAUUAUGUAAUUACGAUAACUGUUAUUUUCUUUUUCCAUAUGAGAUCCAUUCUUGCUGCUUUAUUAAACAGCAGUAACAAGAUAUAUAUUUUCUGCUUUGUUGCCAUGAGUUACCAAACUUGGAUCUGUAAUAAUCUACCAAAGCUGCCGCCAAUUUUUUUCUAUGACCAAAACUGACCGGA
rnacentral:lncRNA from 1 species